rnacentral:rRNA from 1 species
AGAGUGAGCGCUGGCGGCAGGCCUAACACAUGCAAGUCGAACGGCAGCACAGCAGUAGCAAUACUGUGGGUGGCGAGUGGCGGACGGGUGAGGAAUACAUCGGAAUCUACCUUGUCGUGGGGGAUAACCUCGGGAAACCGGGACUAAUACCGCAUACGAACUAUGGUUGAAAGCGGCGGACCGCAAGGCGUCGCGCGAUUGGAUGAGCCGAUGUCCGAUUAGCUAGUUGCGGGGUAAAGCCCACCAAGGCGACGAUCGGUAGCUGGUCUGAGAGGAUGAUCAGCCACACUGGAACUGAGACACGGUCCAGACUCCUACGGGAGGCAGCAGUGGGGAAUAUUGGACAAUGGGGGGCAACCCGUGAUCCAGCCAUGCCGCGUGUGUGAAGAAGGCCUUGGUGUAAGCACUUUGUUGGGAAGAAAGCACUGGUUAAUACCUUGGUGUCAUGACGGUACCCAAAGAAUAAGCACCGACUAACUCGUAG